rnacentral:rRNA from 1 species
AUUGAACGCUGGCGGCAUGCCUUACACAUGCAAGUCGAACGGUAACGGGCCUUCGGGUGCCGACGAGUGGCGAACGGGUGAGUAAUACAUCGGAAUGUGCCCGAUCGUGGGGGAUAACGAGGCGAAAGCUUUGCUAAUACCGCAUACGAUCUACGGAUGAAAGCAGGGGACCGCAAGGCCUUGCGCGGACGGAGCGGCCGAUGGCAGAUUAGGUAGUUGGUGGGAUAAAAGCUUACCAAGCCGACGAUCUGUAGCUGGUCUGAGAGGAUGAUCAGCCACACUGGGACUGAGACACGGCCCAGACUCCUACGGGAGGCAGCAGUGGGGAAUUUUGGACAAUGGGCGCAAGCCUGAUCCAGCCAUGCCGCGUGCAGGAUGAAGGCCUUCGGGUUGUAAACUGCUUUUGUACGGAACGAAAAGCCUUCUUUUAAUACAGGAGGGUCAUGACGGUACCGUAAGAAUAAGCACCGGCUAACUACGUG